GAUGAACGCUGGCGGCGUGCCUAAUACAUGCAAGUCGAGCGAAUGGAUUAAGAGCUUGCUCUUAUGAAGUUAGCGGCGGACGGGUGAGUAACACGUGGGUAACCUGCCCAUAAGACUGGGAUAAAUCCGGGAAACCGGGGCUAAUACCGGAUAACAUUUUGAACCGCAUGGUUCGAAAUGGAAAGGCGGCUUCGGCUGUCACUUAUGGAUGGACCCGCGUCGCAUUAGCUAGUUGGUGAGGUAACGGCUCACCAAGGCAACGAUGCGUAGCCGACCUGAGAGGGUGAUCGGCCACACUGGGACUGAGACACGGCCCAGACUCCUACGGGAGGCAGCAGUAGGGAAUCUUCCGCAAUGGACGAAAGUCUGACGGAGCAACGCCGCGUGAGUGAUGAAGGCUUUCGGGUCGCAAAACUCUGUUGUUAGGGAAGAACAAGUGCUAGUUGAAUAAGCUGGCACCUUGACGGUACCUAACCAGAAAGCCACGGCUAACUACGUGCCAGCCGCCGCCGUAA
rnacentral:rRNA from 1 species